rnacentral:lncRNA from 10 species
GUUAAGCCACCUAGUUUGUGGAACUUUUUAGGCAACCCUAGGGAACCCACAGACACACUGAGUAUAAGUUUAUCACCAAUAGAAAUCACGGAUGUUUUCAUGCAAGAUUAUGGUUGCUGCAGAUAUCUGCAAAUGUUGUUUAAGCUCAUCACUACUUUGAAAUUAUAGUGGUUAUUAGACCCAAAGCGAAAUAUUUUAACUUAAUUGGGUAAUAAAUAACUUAUAAAUUUGUUUUUAAAUAUUUUGAUAUUUUCAUAACUUUAUUCAAUAUAAUGAUUUUCCUUAUGAUUCUCUUUAUCUUAUGCAUUUUAAAGCAUAAUUCCGGGAGGAGGUCUGCAGGCUUCACCAGAAUGCCAAAGGGGUUCCAUUAAGUUCGGCCUGAGAUGCAGUACUCCAACAUAUCCAGAAGAGGGCACUAGAGCACCUGCUUAUGGUAUGCAGCGAUUUUGACCUGGAGGCCAGUUCGAAGGCAGGACAUUUUUUUCCCCUUCUCUUUCUCCCAUCAUCUAUCCCAGAACCCACGGCCCUCCAGAGACAGCAAAUUCGCAGCUUUCUGCCUGUCCCUCUUCUUCUGGCUGUCUUUGGGAGGGCUGUGUCUUUGCGCUUCUUUAGAGAGACUCCACGCAUCCUUGGUUAAGUCAUAAAAGGCUUAUUGGUUUCGAUUCCAAGUCACUUGGUAGAUACCUUUGGUUUUCUUUCUUUUUUAAAAAGGCGGAAAAGUACAAUACUGCCAGGAAUAUUUGCUGUUUGUCCUGGCUAAAAUCUGAUAGUGCAAUAUUUCAAAGGAUUUUUUUUUUUUUUUUUUGGAGACGGAGUUUCACUCUUUUUGCCCAGGCUGGAGUGCAAUGGUGAGAUUGCAGCUCACUGCAACCUCUGCCUCCCAGGUUCAAGCAAUUCUCCUGCCUCAGUCUCCCUAGUAGGAUGGAUUACAGGUGUGCGCCACCACACCUGGCUAUUUUUAGUACAGACAGGGUUUCACCAUGUUGGCCAGGCUGGUCUCGAACUCCUGACCUCAAGUGAUCCACCCACCUCAGCCUCCCAAAGUGCUGGGAUUAUAGGAGUCAGCCACUGCACCCGGCUAGGUUUUUUUUGUUUUUUUUUUUUGUUUGUUUUUUUUAAGUGCUCUAUGGUCAGAAGUCGGCUUGACUGGAAGAUGAUAUUGACGCUGUGCUUUUUUUCAGGCCUCUCUGCUCUUGUUCUCUCUUUGGGAUCCUGCUUCUCCCAUGGGAACUUCUCAGUUGACUGAGAAUCUCUUUUCGAACCACUGAUAAUUACAUCUCGGGCCCUCAGCCGCUUCCUUUCUUCUUGGUGUGAUUUUUCCUAAGGAUAAUAUAGAACUUCAUUAGUCUUUUCGGGAAAUGUGAGAUCGCCCCAAAUUGGCUCCUGGAAGACCUCUUCUUUCCUUUGCUUCCGCUCUUCCUCCCUUUGUCCACUUUGAGCUUCUAUGCAGCUCCCUUGUACCUUUAAAUACGUUCCACUUUGAGCCCCCACCUCCACCUGGUGGUCAGUGGAUAGAAAAUUGCUGAAAGGAAACAUCGGAGGUAAAAAGGUAAGAAGGAUUCUGGUCUCUACGGCUAAACUUUAGUUAAGAUUCAGAACCUUCUCCCGGGCUUCUUUGCGGACUUCCUUGCAAAAUUCUGUAGUGAAGUCGAGUUUAUAGCCACUCUCCAGAGAGCCUUAAGACCAAAUUAGAGGGAAAGAAAUGCCUCUUCUUAAAUGCUUGAUUGCUGUAACCACAUAGAGGUGGAAGCCCAUCUGCAAAACCACCUCCUAAAAUGAGACACAGCUGUUAAGUGUUUAACUGAACUGAACUAUUUGUGGAACUGAGAGACUGGUUCAGUGGCCUGUGGGACAAUCCACCAACCCCAUUUCUGGACUUUUCCCAAGAAGUUUCAGACAGGGGAAUACUGGGGCUCAGAAAAUGAUGCUUCUAAAUCUGGUGCCUUGGCAUGCUGAGUACCUUGAACUAAAGGAGAUUGUGAAAGCCUCAGAAGCAAAGUUGCUCUAAGACCUUCUUCCAUCUUCCUGUCUCCUAUCCCUCAUUCUCCCCUGAAACAAGUCAUGGAAACCAGAAUUCCUCUUCCCUAAGGCAGAUCAUAGAAAUUCAAACUCCUCUCUCCUAGAGCGAGCCAUAAAGCCUAGGAGGCCACGCUUUCCCUUCUCUCUCUUCCCUCCUCCCUGGAGGACCCUCAUUCCAGAGGUGCUGCCCCAUACCCAGGAGGAAGGACUGCUACAGAGAGGCCAAGAAGCAUCUGAACAGACAAGCCUUGCUGGGUUUCUGCUGUCAGUCUAUUACAAUUCGAUCACUCUUCUGUCCAAUCGCAUUUUUACAUGGCUGUCCAUUCUUCAUUGAACAGAGGCAUAAAAACAGUUUUCCUUGGGUCUUUGGGUCUUCGUUUCUGAAAGCUCCUGUAUCACAUAAAAUUUUGAUUAAAUUAAUCUGUUAAGCUUUUCCCUUGUUAACUCCCUCUUUCAUUAUAGGAGUUUCAACUAUGGCCCUUAUGAUAGCUGAGGAAAGAUAUCAUACCUUUUCUGCCUCUGCAUUGGGCAAAUUACUUCUUUCUGAACAUUAUCUCUGCGUAAUGCUUGUCACUGAAAUAAUACUUACCCCACAAAAUACUUGUCUCUGAAAUUAACUCUGAACAUCAGUUUCCUACUCGAUAAAAUGGUGUAGCAAUUGCUGUUGCAUGUGGUUGUUUUAAAAAUCAAAUUCAAGCUGGGCAUAGUGGCAUGCACCUGUAGUCCCAGCUAUUUGAGAGACUGAGGUGGGAGGAUUGCUUGAGCCCAGGAGGUCGAGGCUGCAGUGAGCAAUGAUCGUGCCGUUGUACUUCAGCCUAGGUGACAAAGCAAGAC